UUAUUCUCUAUAAAUUUAAGUUUUUAAAAAAUAAUGAUUGUUUCAUAUAAUUUAACAUGGUAUUAGAGUAGGAGGUAAUUUCCUGAGUUCGGAUUACGCCAAGCUCCUAACAUAAUUGAUUUUUUCUCAUUUAAUUCAAGUCCACAUUAUGAAGCUAUUAAAGUAUUUCGAAUCCAGAUGUGAAGGAGUAUUUUAAAUAUAAAAAAUAUAAAUAUACUAUUUUCUACAAACUUAAGAGUUCGAAUCACAUCAGACUCCUAAUAUAAUUAAUUGUCCACCAUUUAAUUCAAAUUCAUAUCAUGGAUCUAUUGAAAUAUCUUGAGCCCAGAUGUGAGAAAGAGU
rnacentral:lncRNA from 1 species